GUGCUUGCUUCGGCAGCACAUAUACUAAAAUUGGAAGGAUACAGAGAAAAUUAGCAUGGCUCCUGUGGAAGGAUGACAUGGAAAUUCUUGAAGUGUUCCAUAUUUUU
rnacentral:snRNA from 1 species